rnacentral:lncRNA from 1 species
CGGGUCUACGCAGCCAAACUGGCCGCAUACUCCACCAGACUUGCUCCAGUGGUAUUCGUGGGACACAGGUUCCUGUCACGCACGUGUGGACGCGCUUGCACGACGUCGCCCAGCUCAUCAGAGGCACCAGCCGGUCUGCAGGCAGGGCCCGCGCCGCACUAUGCCCGCGCCACAGUGGUUGCCCACUGUCGCCGGGAGGCCACCCGCCGGUGGUCCUGGGCCCGGGCCGUGUCGUCCAGCACCACGAGGCAGCCUCAAGUCGGCCCCUCCGGGAAGAGCCGCUGGUCAUUAGCCGCCCCCGGGUUUUCAGCCCCCGACGACAGCAGGCGCGCGGCUCCCAUCUCGGCUCCUUGGUUUGCAGCUCAGGUCCCAGGAGCAAGGGGGCGCCUCCCCACCAGGGCGCUCGCUUCGUGGCAGGCUCGGGGGUAGUGAACCAGGCCGAGCGGCGCCGCCAGAGGCCGCAGCUGAAGCCCGGCCGACGUUCUGAAGCCUCUGCGGACCGUCUGAGGAGACGCCAGGCCCGCCACCGUCGGGGAGCUCCGGGAGCGCCAUCUUCAUUCCCGUCUCGGCCUAGGACUCCUUGAACUCUUGAGUCUUCCGCGCCCCCAGCAACCGUGAGCGCCCGAGUGGCACCACGCAGCCCCAAGGGCAAGACCUCUGCGGGCCCUGGGGUGCCAGAGCUCCGGCCUGCCCGGAAGAGCAGUGACGGGGGCGCCGCCAUCUUGGUGGCAGCACAGAAGGAACGCCGGGACCGUCGUCGCCCCCCAGACCGCUCAGAGCCUGCCUCCUACGCGACCUGGGACACAGCAGUGCCCAUCUUGAAAUGCUGUAAUGAAGACAGAAUGAGUUAAUGUAUGUGAAGAACCGAAAACAGUUCCUGGCAUGCAAUAAAUACUCAGUAAUCAGCAUAUCAGCGGCCCAACUCUGGAAUUCUAGAAUAACUUUGAGCCAACAUGGGAAAUUUGGAGAAAAUGUUUGCAGCAAUGCCACAAACACACAUACAACUCAAUAUGCAAAUGCUUCCAUUCCGCAAUGGGACCACUGCGUUGGAGAAAAGCAUCAGUUGCCCCUUGAGAGGGGCCUCCAAGUGCCGGAUGCAGCCACCAUAUUCCUCAGCUCUCCCCCAACCCUUCCCCAAAGCAGCAGCCGGCAGCCGUUUGUCACCAAGCUUCUGUGGUCGCCUUUCUGCCUUUCUUAUACCGGACUCAGUUUAUUCACUUAUAUUACCUACUGCCCUCUGUCGGCAUUUGAGUUUUCCAGCACCUUCCAUGCCAUGAAGUAUUUCUUCUCUUUCCUUCCAAUUCCUGGCCCCAUAAUCUUUUUUUGUUGUUGCUGUUCAUCUUGUUUUGUUUUUCUUUAAUUUAUUACUAUUUUUCUCACCAUAGCACAUACCCUUCCCAGUGGCCAUCACCCAGCCACCCCAUCCCUCGCGUGCCCCUGGCCCCAUAAUCUUAAGAGAAAGCUAGUGAGCAGCCAGGAUCCCAUCCCAGACACGUUGCCUCUGAUUUUUGUAACCCAAAUAUCCACAACAUAAUCUCCAGAUUUCUGGUUCUAGGCUUCUCUUUAAUGCUCAAAUACAAUUAUUCAAGCCACAUUCCAGUUUGGCCAUAAUAAAUUCUGUCCCAAACUUUUAGAAAUUUUCUGGAGAUUCACAAAGGUGACUUGAGCAGAGCCGGGUUUUUUGAGGACCCCGGUCUUCUCUAUCAUUGCUCACUCGAAACUCCUGCUCCCUCUUAUGAUCCCCAGCCUUUUUGGCAUAAACUGUUCCUCUAGCUCCUUUUGAUACCUUUUUUUUCUAAGAAAUGCUUUUCCUUGCCUUGAGAAGUAGGUAUCAUGAAUCUCACACUUAACUAUGGUGCUUGACCAAAUUUUUGCUAUUGGCUUUGGGGUCACAUUAUGGAAAUGAUGAGAAGCCGCUUACAAGUGGACUCUGGCCUGAUGCUCUUUGGCUCCUCCAAUAGCAAUUUGCCACUAGGGUAGAAGCAUAUACCCAAUCCACUGUUGUGUCAAUAUUUUCUUCCUUCUCAGUUUUCCAGUAGAAAUCUGAAAGUCUAAACAUUGGAAAAACUGAGGUGAGAAAAGAAAUAUAUUUUUUCAAUAUAUAGCACAGAGGUAAUUGUUUUUCCAUGAAAGAUACAAAAGACUGAACUCUUAGCUCACAGCACACAUAAAAAUCAACUGCUGGUAGGUGAUAUACACAUAAAGCUUUAUGAAAUUACAUAGGAGAACUUAAGACUUUAGGGUACAUUAAAGGCAUAAAAAAUGUUCAUUGCGGAGAAAAAGAUUAAUAAAAUACAACAGCAUUAAAAUGAACAAAUUAUUUAAUUAAAACAAUGUAAGAAGGAUGAAAAAAUAAGCCAAAGAACGGAAGAGGAUAUAUGGACACAUGAAAUUCAUAUAAACAGCACAAAGCUGAUACACACAUACACACACAGAAGAUAUAUUAUUAUAGGAGUUUUUUAGAGUGCUUCUGAUAGGAAACCAAAAACAACAAUGGAAAAUGGGAAAGUAAUUCUCCUAGAAAGUUUUCACAGAUAAUAAAUCUAAAUAGCCAAUAAAUUUUUGAAGUGGCUCUCGACCUUCAUAGAAACUAGAGAAAUACAAAUUUCCACCACAAUAAGAAAAUUACAUAUAGGGUUGCCAUGUUAGCAAAGAAAAAUACAGGAUGCCCUAUUAAAUUUGAAUUUCAGAUGAACAAUAGAUCAUUUUAAUACAGGCAUGUCAUGAAAUAUGUGGGACAUAGUUAUACUACAUAAUUAUUCUUUUUCUAGUGAAAAUUAAAAUUUAGUUGUAUAUCCUGUAUUUCAUCUAUCAAUCUUAGUUAAUUGCACAUGUAACCAAAGGGAAAAAAUUAAAAUGUCUGAUAAUACCAAGACAAGGGUGGGGAAUAACUGGAACCCCUUACUCAACACAAAAGGGAUAUAAACUGGUUAUGUCCACUUUGGAAACAAAAUUUGGCACUAUCUACCAAAAGUAGAUAAACUUACCCUGUGGCCCAAAAAUGUCCCAGCCAAUAUAAACUAGUGAAAUUUAUUCACUUAUGUAUCAGGGUACAUACACCAGUAUGCUUGUGCUAUAUUGUGAAUAAAAGCUAAAAGCAAAAGCCAAAAAAAAAAAAAAUAGUGAAUUCUACCCAGGUUGCUGGAGUUGGGAGUGGAGGGAUAGGGUGGCUGCGUGAUGGACAUUGGGGAAGGUAUGUGCUACAGUAAGUGCUGUGAGUGUGUAAGACUGAUGAUUCACAGACCUGUACCCCUGAAACAAACAAUACAUUAUAUGUUAAUAAAAAGAAAAAAAUCUAUAAAAAGUG